AUUAAUACCCGUACAGGUAUUAGAAAUAUGAACAUAUUUUAACUCGCACAGACAACAUAGACAACAUAGCAAAUCAAGAAUAAUAUCCAGCCGCGUUGCUCCGCAAGUUGAAAAAGGACAGAACUGAUCUAACCGACGCUUAUUUUAUUUUCUCUGUGUCCUGCACGUUUCGUCCAUUCCCAGAACUUCUUGGCCGAAAAAUCGAGAUUUUAGUGCUGUCAGUCGCCGGUCAGCCAGCUGAAGCGCUACCUGCGAAGCGCGGUGACAAGGAAGCCCCAAAGAUAACUAGCGCAUAUAUGCUAACUUGACUCGUUGUUUAAAUGACAUGCGCAAGUUGGUUUGAGGUUACGUUAAGCAAAGUGUGGGCUUUCUUGUGUCACACAAUAAAACACACUUUAAAUAAACAACUUUUGAUCAAUUAACAAUAAAUAGAGAGUAAGCGGGAUGUGCGCGCGCGAAAGUGCAAAAGGAGACUCCCUGUUGACAAGGGACGCUGAGCGUCUCUUCUUGGGCGUAGAUUUGUAAAUGUUUCUUAAAGUUUGGGCACGAACAUCGUUAGACACGUUUGAACUAUUAUUUAAAAAAGCAGAAAACAAUAAGAAACAAACAAGAUCUAAGACUAUUAAACUCCAAGAAUCCAAAUCUUUACUGCGAUGAAAUAAGCAUGAAUUUCAGCAACAGCCACUGAACUAAAAAGGUGCUAGAAUCCACAAGAAACAGUAUUUUUCUGUGGUUAUAACUUCGUUCGCAAUGAAUGUAUCAAACCGGCAUCGCGGCAGUGAUACGCGCAAGCGCAAUCAGUCAGGACUGGUGCGGACGGUUAAGAAAAAAAUAUCUGCGCACCGUUAAGAAAACGCAUGUAUUAAAUAAGUGCUUUAUGUUAGAUUGCGAGUUUUGCAAAAUUUGUAUACAACAGUUGCAGUUGUUCAGACUAUUAUGUAAAUAAUGUUAUAUGCAAACACAUACAUUUUGUUGUAUUACGAAACAAUAUUAUUAAAUCACAUUCUCCAACGAUAUAUGCAAAUGAGCAUAAUGUGGUUGAUUAUUGCUUAAGUUUCUUAAGCAGAACGAAUGAUAAUCGAGUGGGUAAGAAAAACAAAAGGAUGAAAAAAACACAGCAGAUUUUGCAGUUUUUGUAAAUAGCCAUGAUCUAUCUUACUUAAGUGACAGCAAUUUUCAGGCUAUUAUUUCAAAUAUAAGUGCAACAAAAAAUAUAUUAAAAAAUUCAUCUCAGUCAUCUCAUCAGGAAAAUAAUUUUAAAGACGUUUCAAUUACUUCUACAUGUAAAAAUAUAGACCAACAAAAACGAUUUUUUUCUUCUAAAAAUAAAAGAAAAGGUCACGUAAUUCUGAUUCUGUUUUUAAAACCCCCAUUUAGAUGAAAUUAUGAAUAUAUCCAAUUUAACGAUGAAAACGACUUAAACAAAAUAAUUCUAAAUCAAUAACAUUUCAAUAUUAUUAAACACACGAAUGACAUGUUUCACCUGAACACGACUUUUUGAGUAAACCGCUUUGUCAUCUGGAAUAAUAAGAACUUUUAAGAACACUUAACCAAUCAGAUUAUGGAAUUUUUAGCGGUUUUUAACGUCUCAUCAAUGCACUCAAGUCAAGUCAAGCCUGUGUAAAAUUUUGAUUUGAAAAAGUUGUGUUGGUAUUAAAGUUUUAUUAAAUAGAACAAAUAUGAAUUCGGAGUGGAGCUAUUCUCAUUGUGCGAAAGUUUUUAGCCGGAAGUCUAGUUAGAAACGUCACAUGGAAAUUAAGCAUCCGGAAUUGAAGAUAGCCGAUAUUUUUCCUGGAAAAAAGUUUCAAUGUAAAUCCUAUUCAAAACAAUUCAAUAAGAAGUCUCAUAUUAGUCAUGGACGAAAGGUUCAUGAAGAUGUUAAAGUACAUCGUUUGAUAGAAUGCUCUUUGUGUUAUUUCAAUCAUUAUCUCAAAAAUGAAAUGUUAUCUCACAUGGAGCAAAUGCACAAUUUAAAUCUUAUUUCGGUAAAACAUUUUAGAAGCAAAGACGAAUUUUUACAAUUCAAACUGAAAGAAGAAUCUGAAUAAAAAUGGUUCUUUAUGAAACUAGGGGGAAGCAAAAAGGAGCGAGUAACGAGAUCUCAGAUAUUUGUGUGUAAUCGAUCUCUAUACUAUGUCCCGACAGGUUGUUCAAUGAGAACUUUAAAGACUCAAGGCAGUUGCAGAAUUAACGCCUUCUGUCCAGCAUCUAUAAAAUACAGGG